GUCAGAUUGGCCGAGUGGUUAAGGCGCUAGAUUUAAGAUCUUGUGGGAGUGUGGGUUAGAGUCCCACAUCUGACA